GUCAUCAAAAAGAGAAAACAGUAACAUACAAUUACACGACCCAUUUAAGCCUGAUACUGAAGAUUAACUUUAAAAUGUUUUAUGGCUCACUGCUUUUCACGAUAUCACAGAAAUUUAGAUACUGCUUGCCGAGUUAAGGUUAGCUAUAGUUAAGGAACUGUAUAGUAAUAUACGGUAUAUAAUUCGCUGUUUCUUACGUGUUGUGGAAAAUUUGCGCAUUCUCAGUACUUGAGGUAUUUGUCGGAGUUUUAAUCUGUGGAGUCUUUUCAACCGGUACAUUUAAUACUGCCAUUGUUGCUGGUCAGCUGACUGGAGUGAUAUUUUCAAUUCGAAACAAGUCUGCACAUACAUUUACAUAUAUUUAGCAGUUUUAUUACUUUGUAAAUAGUCUGUAGGAUUUGCACACUACCACAACGCUUGUGAUAUAACUAAUUUUAUGUUUCUAAUGGAAUAAGAUAGAUUUGCCGUAAGAUGACCGGGAGAGUCUGAAAGCGUUAGUGUCACGGCACAUGCGUGAGAGUUGGCAGUCCUUUAGCCUUACAGUAGGUCGGUAAUUGGCGCUUAGUUACCAGUCACCCAUUCAAGGAUGGGAAGUUGGCAACACUGACCAGGUCAGGCGAUGGAGCCUUGGAAUAUGCUGGCAGUGUGGGUGCGGGGGCCGCAAGAUUUCAGUCCUGGCUAUUGGUGAACAUCAAUAUGUAGAACCUACUGAAUAAGAAGAAGUGGGGCUUCAGGUCUGGAGACAGGAAGAAGAUCAUGUGGGUAUUGGUGGAGCUGAAGAAGCUGCAACAAAACAGCUUGAAGGAGGUGUGGAGUUGGAUGAGAACUAACACUGGCUACAAGCAGCCUGGAAAUUUUGUAGUGGAAAGGAACAAGGAUAAUGAACUGAAAUCUGUUAAACAGAUUUGACUCUAGCUUGCCAGUCCAGCCCUCUCCCAACACUGCCAGCCUCACUGUGACAACUGCUCCUGCCACAUCUAGUACUUUCACACCUCCCUGCAACUUCCCCACUGAAGACACCACAACCACCCCCCCACCACCCACCUGACUUCCCAGACUAUCUGGUUUGCUGAGCACAUGAGGAAAAUGCUGAGGAAACUAUGCACAGAAGGGGCCCUGGCUCUGUAGAUCUGCUGCCAAAAAAGGGGCAGCACAUCUACCUUGAAGAGCUUCAGACCAGUUACUCUUAUUUCGCAUAUCACAGACUUCUGAGAGACUGGCCCUGAAUCACUUCUGAUCACAGGUCACAGACAACCAGGACCCCCGGAGGUUUCCCUAUGAAUGAUGGUUUUCCAGUCCGCAGUGGCCAGUGUACUUCUGGUUUACUGGGAAAGCGGUAUGAUUUCAGGUGUUGCCAAACACCUGAACAAAGUCAUCUGAAAAGUUAUCUCCAUCACAGGGCAUAAUGUACUGUUUGGUGCAGAGAGUAGGAUGAUGGGAGAACUUGAGGACAUCAUGAACAAUUCCACGCAUCCCCACCAUUGACCAUUCUCUUGAAGCACCAUUAGCCACUGAUCCAUUCCACCACUCUGCCAUCUUUUCUUCUGGCUGCCCUCAGGAACAGUGCCUCCCCACAAUGUUCCAGCCUUUUUAACCAAUGAUUAUCAAAUCCUCUUUCUCAAAGAGGUGAUGAACAAGGUUGGUCUUGGCACCUCCUGCCCCUAGGCCUUUCCUCAAUCAUCCCCAUUUAGAAGUCAUGUCCAUGGACCUGAAAUAAAUGUACACUGCCAUUCAAGAAUUGUACACUGUCAAAUUGAUUAUCAGUAUAUUAAACCUGCUUUUCCUUCUUAUUGUACUAUUGCAUUUAACAGGCACUUAAAGAUUACACAUAAAUUGUACACUAUUAUUUUCUCUGUUUCCUUAAAGCAAUCUGGUAUCUUCAGUAUGCUAUGAGGUACACACUAUGUAUGAUUGUUGCAUUAUUAUUGAUAUUUUGCUGACUCUUGGUGUGCUGUGGCGUAGUUUAAACAGAAGUGUUCUGCUACCUUUCUGAGAUUACUGUAACAAUGCAUUGGCCUGAUUCUCCACCUGCACUUAUGAUGGCUUACUUCUCAUGCCUAUGGCACUUCAAGUACUAAAACAUGGCAACCCUUUCUCCCAGAACCCUUUCCCCAUCUGGCAAUUGGAUGGAUGCAGCUGGAAAUAACAGCUGCUAAACUGUCUGAUAUUUUUUCAUGUCUUGAGUGAAGGAUUUUGGGUGGGUGAAUCCGGAGGAGAAUAAGCAAAACUUAACCUAAGGCUAACCUGAUUCAACAACCCAAAGGGAAAAUACUAAUGGACAGGUUUACAUCAGUUUAGAUUAACUAUCUUAGCAUUGUUGUGGAGCCAAUCCUCAGACUUCGAUAGUUUACACAAGAUUUUUACCGUGGUGUUGUUUUAAACACCCAAAAGAAAAAUGUGCUGAAUGCACUCCUCCUAGCUUUCCAUAUUCUUUGUGUCGUUAAUAUGGUGUUAAGUAGUAAGGUUUUUUCCAUGUUUGGAGUAGGGCUUGUUUUAGCCGUGUGUGUGAUUUCUGAUGCGAGUCAUAAGUUGGUCCACAUCCACCCACCUCUGCACCAUGUGUUCUAACAACAACAACAGCAGCACUGCUACUCUGACAUAGAGGGUCAUGCACAAGCCUACAUGAUCUGUCAGUAGUGCUGGGAGUCCUGGACUUCCAGCAAACUUGGAACAUGCGGUAGGUCAUCCUCCAGGACCAUAGAGCCCAAGGGAAAGGAGGCAACGUGGGAUUAUAUUUCAAUCACAGACAAAACAUCGUUUGCACUAUGACAAAUGUUCAUGUUGUGUUGGCACUUUGAUGACUUCAUAAGAUUUGUAGUUUCUGUGUUCUCUAUGCAGCAUAGUAAUAUUUCUUUGUAUAGCCUGUCACUAUUUGAAACAUUAAAUUGAUCAUGGGUAAGAUCCCAGAAUAUGAUAAA